rnacentral:tRNA from 2 species
GCGCGUGUGGCGAAAUUGGCAGACGCACUAGACUUAGGAUCUAGCGGGCAACCAUAUGGGUUCGAGUCCCUUCACGCGCACCA